GAAGAGGCUAUAAUUCAAACAAAUCUCUUCCAUAAUAGCUAUGGGAAUACUAAACAUUACUGGCCAAGUAAAUUGCUUUCUGUGUAAGUGUUCUCUUUUUUUUUGAAGUUUGCCCCAGUGUGAAAGUCUCUCUAAGAUUGGUAACUAAUGGGUAAUACACAACAUUCCAAGAUAGAUUCUGGUAUCUUGAGCCAACAUAUCAGGAGAACGGCACAGAAAAACUGAACAUUACCAGCCCCUCUACCUUAGCUAACUGCAAAAUGAACAACUUCCAAGGACUUACUGCUACUCUCCCACAAAAUGAAAAGUCUAUGUAUCAAGAUAUAGACUAGUACAGCUAAGCACAAGGCUCCUCCCCAGUCAAAGAAGAGCAGAGAGUGAAGAUCACUAUCAGUAAAAGCGCUGGCCUAGAGUUCCAUCACUAAACUGAUAUGUAACCCAAGGCAGGUCUUCUUUCUUUGAGUUUCAGUUUCAUCAUCUUUGAAGUGAGAAUAACAGAGCAUAAAAGUCAAACUUGAACCAA
rnacentral:lncRNA from 1 species